CAGUAGCCGCGGUAAUACGAAGGGGGCUAGCGUUGUUCGGAAUUACUGGGCGUAAAGCGCACGUAGGCGGAUAUUUAAGUCAGGGGUGAAAUCCCGCAGCUCAACUGCGGAACUGCCUUUGAUACUGGGUAUCUUGAGUAUGGAAGAGGUUAGUGGAAUUGCGAGUGUAGAGGUGAAAUUCGUAGAUAUUCGCAGGAACACCAGUGGCGAAGGCGGCUAACUGGUCCAUAACUGACGCUGAGGUGCGAAAGCGUGGGGAGCAAACAGGAUUAGAUACCCGUGUAGUCCCUGUCUCUUAUAA
rnacentral:rRNA from 1 species